AAUCAACGCUGGCGGCGUGCCUAACACAUGCAAGUCGAACGUGAAAGGGCUUCGGCCUGAGUAAAGUGGCAAACGGGUGAGUAAUGCAUCGGAACGUGCCCAGUCGUGGGGGAUAACGCAGCGAAAGAUGCGCUAAUACCGCAUACGAUCUCUUGAUGAAAGCGGGGGACCGUAAGGCCUCGCGCGAUUGGAUCGGCCGAUGUCAGAUUAGGUAGUUGGUGGGGUAAAGGCUCACCAAGCCGACGAUCUGUAGCUGGUCUGAGAGGACGACCAGCCACACUGGGACUGAGACACGGCCCAGACUCCUACGGGAGGCAGCAGUGGGGAAUUUUGGACAAUGGGCGCAAGCCUGAUCCAGCAAUGCCGCGUGCAGGAAGAAGGCCUUCGGGUUGUAAACUGCUUUUGUACGGAACGAAAAGGCUCUGGUUAAUACCUGGGGCUCAUGACGGUACCGUAAGAAUAAGCACCGGCUAACUACGUGCCAGCAGCCGCUGUAACAC
rnacentral:rRNA from 1 species